rnacentral:misc_RNA from 1 species
GAUGAAGAACGCAGCGAAAUGCGAUAAGUAAUGUGAAUUGCAGAAUUCAGUGAAUCAUCGAAUCUUUGAACGCACAUUGCGCCCGCCAGUAUUCUGGCGGGCAUGCCUGUUCGAGCGUCAUUACAACCCUCAGGCCCCCGGGCCUGGCGUUGGGGAUCGGCGGAAGCCCCCUGCGGGCACAACGCCGUCCCCCAAAAACAGUGGCGGUCCCGCCGCAGCUUCCAUUGCGUAGUAGCUAACACCUCGCAACUGGAGAGCGGCGCGGCCACGCCGUAAAACACCCAACUUCUGAAUGUUGACCUCGAAUCAGGUAGGAAUACCCGCUGAACUUAAGCAUAUCAAUAAGCGGAGGA